CCUACGGGUGGCAGCAGUGGGGAAUAUUGGGCAAUGGAGGAAACUCUGACCCAGCAACGCCGCGUGAAUGAUGAAGGUCUUCGGAUCGUAAAGUUCUUUUAUAAGGGACGAAGAAAGUGACGGUACCUGAGGAAUAAGCCUCGGCUAACUACGUGCCAGCAGCCGCGGUAAUACGUAGGAGGCGAGCGUUAUCCGGAAUGACUGGGCUUAAAGGGUGCGUAGGUGGUUUGGUAAGUCAGUAGUGUAACUCCCAGGCUCAACCUUAGAACUACUGUUAAAACUGUUGGACUUGAGUGCAGGAGGGGCAACCGGAAUUCGUGGUGUAGCGGUGGAAUGCGUAGAUAUUAGGAGGAACACCAGUGGCGAAGGCGGGUUGCUAGACUGUAACUGACACUGAGGCACGAAAGCGUGGGGAGCAAACAGGAUUAGAUACCCUUGUAGUC
rnacentral:rRNA from 1 species